rnacentral:rRNA from 1 species
AGUUUGAUCCUGGCUCAGGAUGAACGCUGGCGGCGUGCUUAACACAUGCAAGUCGAGCGAAGCAUUCUGCUUUAAAUCUUCGGAGGCGAAGCAGUCUGACUGAGCGGCGGACGGGUGAGUAACGCGUGGGCAACCUGCCUCAUACAGGGGGAUAACAGUUAGAAAUGACUGCUAAUACCGCAUAAGACCGCGGUACCGCAUGGUACAGCGGUAAAAACUCCGGUGGUAUGAGAUGGGCCCGCGUCUGAUUAGCUAGUUGCGGGGUAACGGCCCACCAAGGCGACGAUCAGUAGCCGACCUGAGAGGGUGACCGGCCACAUUGGGACUGAGACACGGCCCAAACUCCUACGGGAGGCAGCAGUGGGGAAUAUUGCACAGUGGGGGGAACCCUGAUGCAGCGACGCCGCGUGAGUGAAGAAGUAUUUCGGUAUGUAAAGCUCUAUCAGCAGGGAAGAUAAUGACGGUACCUGACUAAGAAGCCCCGGCUAACUACGUG